rnacentral:misc_RNA from 1 species
UAUAAACCAAAACGGCAGACCAAUAGCAACCAAUCGAAUGUCGUUGGAAUACGAUUGGUCUUAUAAAUAUUAGUAGCAGAAUGCCCGAAAUGGUUAAAACUGAUAUUGCGAUUUAAUUUCUAUUCAAUUUUGAUAUUAAUAACUUAAUGAUACUAUUAACAGAAUCGGGCCCUAGGUACUAUGAACUUGAUAAAGAAAGCACUUACCCGGGUUGUGUGAACAUCCCAAUUCGCACCGCCUCGGCAUGAUUAUAUGCACUCAAACAAGCGUCUCUAAUCGCUAAUAACACAAUAACAGUGUCUAUUUCACAAAUAUCACAAAAAAGGCGUCUUUAUCGCAAAUAAUACUAAACACUAAUGGCGUCUUUUCGCAAGUUAUGUGAAACAAUGAAACAGAGGAGCACAGCUCAACUCACUCACUAAUUCACCGAAAACACAGCGGAUGAGUAAAACUCAAAUCAACGCAAGUCAACAGCAGAAAACACUUAAAUGGACGAAAACUUAACACACAAAUUGUAUGUACUGUACUCGCCAUUAAAAUUCAAAUUCUAACUUCAGCAUUGGCAGUUGGCACGGUUUAUUGCCAACCAAAAAAAUAAUUAUAGAAAAAUAAUUUAUGUAUAUAAAAUAGUGUACAGAUUUAAUAAAAAUAAUUGAUAGAUUUCCUACGUAAUACUAAUAUAUAAAAUAAUUUUUAGAUUUCAAUAAUUUUAGUGAUAUUUUAUGGAAGUUAAUUUUUGAUUAAAGAGCCAUCUAUUAUCACUUGAAGAUAUUAAAUACUUUAGGAAGAGGAUUGCAGAUGGCGCUUUUCUAAAUUUUUUACCGAAAUCUAGUCAAGUACGGCAGUGACCAGCCCCUGAGUCAGUCGUUUUUAUGCGCCCGCGUCGCCUCAUACGUGUCCUUGUAGCGAAAUUCGGUAGUGCGAACGUAAUUAUCUUUACAGUAUGGCGUAUCGAUAUUCAAAUGUCGAGUACCUACACGGAAAUGGUGCGAAUGCUUGCUAGGUGUCAUGACAAUGUUUCGGAAGCCUGUCGCCAAUACGCCAUACGAUUCCCAAACAUCCCUACACCUAGCCGAGUAACAAUGCUAGCCGCCACACAGUGCGCGGGAGGCGUGGGAUCCUGAUGGUUCCCGGUGACGUAGACGGAGGCCCGGCGCCCGAGCAGCGUUCUACUGACGAUGGAACUACUGCGCCGACCAGACAUACGAUCCUGGGGCACCGGCAACAUCUUCACUCUGUGUUACUCACUCACACACACAAACUAUGCCGUAUAUACCAUAGUAUACUCCAAUUAGCUCUCGGUAACACUCUUGAUUAAAUACACACUCAUUUCUACACUCGCUUAAUAAAUUUUGCUUCCCUAAUUACA